rnacentral:rRNA from 1 species
GAUGAACGCUGGCGGCGUGCCUAAUACAUGCAAGUCGAGCGAACAGAUGAGGAGCUUGCUCCUCUGACGUUAGCGGCGGACGGGUGAGUAACACGUGGAUAACCUACCUAUAAGACUGGGAUAACUUCGGGAAACCGGAGCUAAUACCGGAUAAUAUAUUGAACCGCAUGGUUCAAUAGUGAAAGACGGUUUUGCUGUCACUUAUAGAUGGAUCCGCGCCGCAUUAGCUAGUUGGUAAGGUAACGGCUUACCAAGGCAACGAUGCGUAGCCGACCUGAGAGGGUGAUCGGCCACACGGGAACUGAGACACGGUCCAGACUCCUACGGGAGGCAGCAGUAGGGAAUCUUCCGCAAUGGGCGAAAGCCUGACGGAGCAAAGCCGCGUGAGUGAUGAAGGUCUUCGGAUCGUAAAACUCUGUUAUUAGGGAAGAACAAAUGUGUAAGUAACUAUGCACGUCUUGACGGUACCUAAUCAGAAAGCCACGGCUAACUACGUG